UCUGCAGAAAAAAUGAGAACUCUGUAGUUAAACCUUUCAAUCUCCAGCCUUCAUAUUUACUCUGACACUGGAACAGACACUGCUGCUGUAUCUGAGAAGCUCUCUGGUGUUUUCAGUUUAGAAUUAGAAGUUAGUCUUACGUUAUGUUUCUUUUGUGCAUCCCAGGCUAAUUAAGAAUCCAUUAACAUGAGAUGCUUUGCCACUUUUUAUUGGUCCUGAGCCUAGAGGUGUAGAAGAAGAUCCUUGAAAUUUAUUUCACCUUCUAACUGGAGUGUUUAGGGAAUUACCACUUCUGAAGUAAUACUCUAGUAACAGCAGUUAACCACUAAGAGAUUUGGAACAUACACGUCAAUAUAUUGUAAUAUAUGGAAGCUGCUAUCUCUGUAUUCAUGAUUUUCCUUCUGGUCUGAUUCCACGUUGUUCUUCGUAUAUAUUUAUAUUUGUAUAAAAUUGUCCUCAGACUGGGUGUGAUUGUUUCAUUUCCUUGAUCUGCUUUCAGAUGGAAAGCAAAACUUUCUUUACGUUCUUAGCCCACACAGUGAUUUUUUUAUUUUAUUUUUUUUUAAGAAAAAAAAAAAGAAAAGAGAUGUAGUAUAGCCCUGCAAGUUCUGUAUGGAAAAUAUCCAUCACUGUCACCUAAUUGCUGUAUUUUGCAGGAGAUUUAAAAAUAUGCCUGUAACAUAACCAAUUAGAGGAAAUGGAAAUACGGUAGAGGGUGUUCUUGCUGCCCUUCCUGCUACAUUAUUAAGCAAGUAAUGCUCAGCGUUCCUGUCCGUACUAUAGCUGGUAGAGAGCCCUGAGCCCUUUGAGGCCUUUCAGUCAAUAUGGAUUUGUGCAGCAAUGUAGGUAAGGCAUUUGUUUAGUAGUAGGCUGAACAACACAGAAAACCUCUAAGAAAUCAAAAAAAAACAAACAACAAAAAAAAAACAACAAACAGCACCUACUUCCAUUAAUUUUUUAGUCUUUUGCCUCUAAGCAAUUGAGAAGGAGAUCAGAAGUGAGAGGAGAAUUGAUGCUGUUCUGUGUUAUCUGGGAGUCAUUUCAACACGAAAUUCACUUUAGUUAAACUGAAGUCAGCUGAGCUCUCACAGGUCCUCCUGAUCUCCAUGCAGACUUAAGGACCAGCGUGUUUUUUCCUCUUAUGUAAUUCCUUCUGUGAAUGUGUUAUACUGGGGGAUUUUAGAGUACGCUUCCAGUAAUGUAUAGCAGCUGUGGAGACUGGAGAAUCUUCUGCAGCUAAACCGGGAAGAAAAAAAACAACGUGAAAACAACCUGAAGUAAUUUAUUGCGUUAAAGAAAUUGAAGUAACAUCUGCAAUACAGUAAUCAGCCAAGUAAUGCUUCGAUCCUCAUCAUAAAUUUAGUUUGUACAAAUCAUCCAUUGAUUGUAAUUGAGCAUAAUAGACAUACUUUCCAACAGCCCUGUCUGCUAUUUUUAGAAUUGCUUUCUAUAAAAUGAUCUACACCACUGCUUUGCCUGAGGGGUUUUGUGGAUUGUGUCCCAUGCUGCCUUCCCACCAGAGCUUUUGAUUUUAUAGGAUAGGGUCUGCUGUGAGAUUCCCUGGGGCCAAACAGCGAUAAGAAAAGGAUCUCAGUGAAUUCCUGUUUGAGACGGGACUGAAGGGCUUUUCCCACUUGUCCCUGGCUCCUUCCUGGAAGGGGAUGAGGAAAAUAAG